rnacentral:tRNA from 1 species
GGCUCAGUAGUACAGUGGUCUAGCUCUCUGUCCAGGACAGACGCGGGUUUGAAUCCCGCCUGAGUCG